GUGGGACCAAGAAUUUGCAUCUUCAGUAACUUCCCAGGAGAUGCUGGUCUUUGCAAGCCACUUCUGGAGAGUUUAUAUGAUGACUGUGUGCAGGAUAGUUUAGGAAGGGAGAGACUAGAGAUGGAGACAUCAGCCAGACAACGUUACACCAUCCAGAGAUUUAUCCUACAAUAAAAUACAGUCUAUUGAAAGACAUACAUUUGAACCACUACCAUUUUUGAAGUUUAUGAUCUUACCUAGCCAUAUGGCCUGCUGCCUCUGCCAAUUUAAAAACAGCAUUGAGGCUGUCUGCAAGACAGUCAAGCUGCAUUGCAACAGUGCAUGUCUGACAAACACCAUACAUUGUCGUGAGUCCAAAUUGCGCGGUGAUAAAUUGUUACAUUAAGUAUUUGUUUUUAAACUUUUUAUUUUUAAUGAUGAUAAAAUUUUAAGCUAAUGACAUAAUUGCUUUAUUUUUAUUUACUCAUUCAGAGUUAAACUCCCUCAAUUUCUGAACUACUCCCUUGCUGAGAGUCAGGUUCUCAGUUACUAUUACAAAAUUUAAUAAUAGAACUGUUCCAUAUGCACAAAGGACCAAGACAAAGGAAUGGGAAGGCUAGGGAAUAACAUUAACAUCCACACACUGUGUACUGUGCUCUCUGCUUGAUGCUUUGCCCACAGUGAUAAUUUCUUCAUAUAGUGCAAUGUAGUUUGUAAGGUGGUUUUAAAUUCAUGAGGUCUCAAGUACUCUCUGCCUUAUAGGACAGAUGUAGAUACGGUUUUGGUUUUUCCGUUUUUACAGUUUUAUAAGAGUACAAGUGAUGCUGUUUUAUUUGAAGCCUGAGAGCUUCUGGUUCCAUAACCAGAAAUUGCUACCUGGCUCUUCUAAUGGAAUGGAGGGCUUUUCCAUUCUUAGACCAUCCAACUCUGAACUUGCUCUGAAUCUCAAACCUUUCUGUUCACAGAACAAACGCUCAAGGGCUUUCAAGAGUGUUUCUGUAGAUUAGGUUUAUUAGCAUCAACUUCAUGACUUCUAAAAUGUGACUGCUUUCAUGUCCAGAUAGCUUGAAUACAGGUAUCUACCAGUGAUAUGGGGUGGAUAAUUAAUAAUGCUUGGUUACAUAAAGUCAGUGUUGCUUAUUUUUCAAAACUUUUUUUUUUUUUUUUUUUUUUACCAAUUAUAUUAUUCCCUUCUCCCCAAGAAGUGGGCAGAAAAGCUUUGUUAACCUCCUUUUACAGAUGAGGAAAAACAAGAUCAGAGGUGCUAAGUGCUGUAGCCUAGUGCCAGGUCUUCUGGCCCCAAUUCUGGGUUCUCCCCAAGCCCAUGUUUCUUCCCCUUUCUCACAAUCUUUACUUCUUCCUCUGACCCUCACCACCACCCAAAAUACUUUUAAUUCUGGAAAAGAAACCCAGCUGCACACUGGCACACUUGACCUUCAUGCAGUCAGAAGCUUUGGAUGAUUCCCCAUCCAAAAUAUUAGAGAUGAAAUGAAAACAAAGUAGGCAUCUGACAAAAGUUGCUUUUUCCCUUCUGCAUUUUAGGACCUCAAGUAAUGUUUAUCCAGAAACUGCUAUCAUACCAGAGAUUCAUUGUGUACUUAACAACAUAGGCAUACAAUCUGGCAAAUUUGAAAAACUCUUAACAUACACCCCAAAUCCCUGCCCAAAUUUAAGAACUAGGGUGGACACAGUGCUUUUUUCCAUGUCGCAUCUUCUGUGAUGGGGCUACGAUAUGUGGGAGCAGAGAAUGGGGAGGGUGGAGCGCAUGCCAGAUGAGGAUCUAUCAGCAAUGGGAGGGGGCCUCCACUUUAGCAUCUCCACCCUGCUCCUCUCAGAGGACCGCCUUUCAUUGCAUUCAGCUGUGAUGGUAGCAAGAACACAGGCGCGGCCCUCUCCCUCUCCUUCUCCCUCUCCCUCUCCCCAUGGUCUCCCUCUCCCUCUCUUUCCACGGUCUCCCUCCGAUGACGAGCCGAAGCUGGACGGUACUGCUGCCAUCUCGGCUCACUGCAACCUCCCUGCCUGAUUCUCCUGCCUCAGCCUGCCGAGUGCCUGCGAUUGCAGGUGCGCCGCCACGCCUGACUGGUUUCGUAUUUUUUUGGUGGAGACGGGGUUUCGCUGUGUUGGCCAGGCUAGUCUCCAGCUCCUAACCGCGAGUGAUCUGCCAGGCUCGGCCUCCCGAGGUGCCGGGAUUGCAGACGGAGUCUCGUUCACUCACUGCUCAAUGGUGCCCAGGCUGGAGUGCAGUGGCGUGAUCUUGGCUCGCUACAACCUCCACCUCCCAGCAGCCUGCCUUGGCCUCCCAAAGUGCCGAGAUUGUAGCCUCUGCCCGGCCGCCACCCCGUCUGGGAAGUGAGGAGCGUCUCUGCCCGGCCGCCAUCCCAUCUAGGAAGUGAGGAGCGCCUCUUCCCAGCCGCCAUCCCAUCUGGGAAGUGAGAAGCGUCUCUGCCCGGCCGCCCAUCGUCUGAGAUGUGGGGAGCACCUCUGCCCUGCCGCCCCGUCUGGGAUGUGGGGAGCGUCUCUGCCCGGCCGCCCCGUCUGAGAAGUGAGGAGACCCUCUGCCUGGCAACCGCCCCGUCUGAGAAGUGAGGAGCCCCUCCGCCCAGCAGCUGCCCGGUCUGAGAAGUGAGGAGCCCCUCCGCCCAGCAGCCACCCCGUCUGGGAAGUGAGGAGCGUCUCUGCCCAGCAGCCACCUCGUCCGGGAGGGAGGUGGGGGGGUCAGCCCCCCACCCAGCCGGCCGCCCCG
rnacentral:lncRNA from 1 species